GACGAACGCUGGCGGCGUGCUUAACACAUGCAAGUCGAACGGAAAGGCCCUGCUUUUGUGGGGUGCUCGAGUGGCGAACGGGUGAGUAGCACGUGAGUAACCUGCCCUUGACUUUGGGAUAACUUCAGGAAACUGGGGCUAAUACCGGAUAGGAGCUCCUGCUGCAUGGUGGGGGCUGGAAAGUUUCGGCGGUUGGGGAUGGACUCGCGGCUUAUCAGCUUGUUGGUGGGGUAGUGGCUUACCAAGGCUUUGACGGGUAGCCGACCUGAGAGGGUGACCGGCCACAUUGGGACUGGGAUACGGCCCAGACUCCUACGGGAGGCAGCAGUGGGGAAUAUUGCACAGUAGGCGGAAGCCUGAUGCAGCCACGCCGCGUGCGGGAUGACGGCCUUCGGGUUGUAAACCGCUUUCGCCUGUGACGAAGCGUGAGUGACGGUAAUGGGUAAAGAAGCACCGGCUAACUACGUG
rnacentral:rRNA from 1 species